ensembl:rRNA 5S_rRNA 5S ribosomal RNA
AUCUGUGGCCUUAUCACCUUGGAUCUGCCUGAUCUUGUCUGAUCUUGGAAGCUAAGCAGGAUCAGGCCUGGUUAGUACAUGAAAGGGAGACUGCCUGAAAUAAUGGGUGCUAUAGGCU